rnacentral:rRNA from 1 species
AUUGAACGCUGGCGGCAGGCCUAACACAUGCAAGUCGAACGGAGUGGCGGACGGGUGAGUAAUGUCUGGGAAACUGCCUGAUGGAGGGGGAUAAAUACUGGAAACGGUAGCUAAUACCGCAUACUAUCAGAUGAGCCUAGGUCGGAUUCGCUAGUUGGUGGGGUAAAGGCCUACCAAGGCGAAGCUCCGUAACUGGUCUGAGAGGAGGAUCAGUCACACUGGAACUGAGACACGGUCCAGACUCCUACGGGAGGCAGCAGUGGGGAAUAUUGGACAAUGGGCGAAAGCCUGAUCCAGCCAUGCCGCGUGUGUGAAGAAGGUCUUCGGAUUGUAAAGCACUUUAAGUUGGGAGGCGUUACCAACAGAAUAAGCACCGGCUAACUUCGUGCCAGCAGCCGCGGUAAUAC